rnacentral:rRNA from 1 species
UACGAAGGGGACUAGCGUUGUUCGGAAUCACUGGGCGUAAAGCGCACGUAGGCGGAUAUGUCAGUCAGGGGUGAAAUCCCGGGGCUUAACCUCGGAACUGCCUUUGAUACAGCAUAUCUUGAGUCCGAUAGAGGUGGGUGGAAUUCCUAGUGUAGAGGUGAAAUUCGUAGAUAUUAGGAAGAACACCGGUGGCGAAGGCGGCCCACUGGAUCGGUACUGACGCUGAGGUGCGAAAGCGUGGGGAGCAAA